AAAUUUUAUUCGUUUUAGCAAUAAUUUUAUAAAAUUGACAAGUGUAAAACAAUAUUUUGUAAGUAUUUGCAUAAACUUUAAAAGAUUAGUACAUUUCACAUAUACAUUAUAUUCAUGUACAGCUUAUUCAUUUUGAUUGCAAUUACUAUUACUGAGUUUAUUAUCAUAACUAUGAUGAAUUUCUUACACUGUAACUGUUCAACUUUUACAUAUGCCUCAGCACCAGCAUGAAAAUAGUAUACAUGAUAAAUA
rnacentral:lncRNA from 1 species